CUACGGGGGGCUGCAGUGAGGAAUAUUGCACAAUGGGGGGAACCCUGAUGCAGCAACGCCGCGUGGAGGAUGACGCAUUUCGGUGUGUAAACUCCUUUUAUAUGUCAAGAAGAUGACGGUAGCAUAUGAAUAAGCACCGGCUAACUCCGUGCCAGCAGCCGCGGUAAUACGGAGGGUGCAAGCGUUACUCGGAAUCACUGGGCGUAAAGGACGCGUAGGCGGGUUGGAAAGUCAGGUGUGAAAUCCUACAGCUUAACUGUAGAACUGCACUUGAAACUUCUAAUCUAGAGUAUGGGAGGGGGGGAUGGAAUUAGUGGUGUAGGGGUAAAAUCCGUAGAUAUCACUAGGAAUACCUAAAGCGAAGGCGAUCUCCUGGAACAUUACUGACGCUAAGGCGUGAAAGCGUGGGGAGCAAACAGGAUUAGAUACCGCGUAGUC
rnacentral:rRNA from 1 species